GAUUGCUGCUGGAGUCUAUCCUCCGCGGGUUUCUUUUUCUGGUUCUGUUUUUUUGGUCGUUGGUGGGGCUUGAACUCUGGGUCUGCAAGCACGGUUCCUGGGCUCGUCAGCUCAUAAGGAGAGCUUUACACUUGAGCCAAAGCACCCGCUUUCCCCUCCACGCUUUUCUCCAGUCUGGGGUUGAUAAUUUGCUUGAGGCUCAGGAGUUUGUGCUGCCAUUAGCUUCUGGGCCCUGAGCUGCAAGAACCUGGUUCCCAAAUGUCUGAGAGCAAGCUUGGUGAUUCUGCAGACAAGGAGAGCCCAAGAGCUGUGCAUUUGUACUCCAAGACCAAAGGAUUCUUCUAUUAACAUAUGUGACUUUAUUUGCUUUGCCCAGGUAUAAGAGGAGUACAGGAAGACUUCUAGUGAAAUUGUGAGCCUGGAUUACCACUAGGAAUUUUAGUAUGAAAUCAGUGAAACUUACCUUAAAUGUGCCAUCUAUGGAUUUGCUAAUGCUAGCUCUACUCGAUUGGUUGUGCCUGGUAGUGCAGAAAGUGUUGUUCGGGGACAUAUGGCCUUCAAAGAAAUAUCACAGAAGAAAAGUUGAGCCUAUGUAUUAUGUUUGCAAGAGGAAAUUCCGGGCCCAAAAUCUCACAGAUUCAUUUCUGAAUCCGUCAUUUCCCUUAUAUCCCAACCAUGCUUCCAGAAUCCUCUGCUCAUUGUCAGCAGCAAGACAGAAUGAAUGGAUCUCUGAAGCUGAUGUCAUUUGAUGAUGUGGCUGUGUACUUCACC